rnacentral:rRNA from 1 species
AGUGAGAGAGAGCUUGCUUUCUCGAGCGAGUGGCGAACGGGUGAGUAACGCGUGAGGAACCUGCCUCAAAGAGGGGGACAACAGUUGGAAACGACUGCUAAUACCGCAUAAGCCCACGACCCGGCAUCGGGUAGAGGGAAAAGGAGCAAUCCGCUUUGAGAUGGCCUCGCGUCCGAUUAGCUAGUUGGUGAGGUAACGGCCCACCAAGGCGACGAUCGGUAGCCGGACUGAGAGGUUGAACGGCCACAUUGGGACUGAGACACGGCCCAGACUCCUACGGGAGGCAGCAGUGGGGAAUAUUGCGCAAUGGGGGAAACCCUGAUGCAGCGACGCCGCGUGGAGGAAGAAGGUCUUCGGAUUGUAAACUCCUGUUGUUGAGGAAGAUAAUGACGGUACUCAACAAGGAAGUGACGGCUAACUACGUGCCAGCAGCCGCGGUAAAACGUAGGUCACAAGCGUUGUCCGGAAUUACUGGGUGUAAAGGGAGCGCAGGCGGGAAGACAAGUUGGAAGUGAAAUCCAUGGGCUCAACCCAUGAACUGCUUUCAAAACUGUUUUUCUUGAGUAGUGCAGAGGUAGGCGGAAUUCCCGGUGUAGCGGUGGAAUGCGUAGAUAUCGGGAGGAACACCAGUGGCGAAGGCGGCCUACUGGGCACCAACUGACGCUGAGGCUCGAAAG